AGCACUGUCGAAUUUGAUGCGAAUGACUUUCUAUAUAACCAUAAAUUUAAUGGUGAAGGUAUAAAUGUAUACAGCGCCGCCUCAGUAAAACUUUGACCGUGAACGAAAACGUUUCGGCACCGAUCAGGUUGAUUUUAGAUCGAGUGGUGAGUAGGUGUAAAGAAAUUUUUAUAGGACGCAGCCGCGUACGCGCGUAAAAGUGUGUAUGCAGCGUGAGCCGCGCGAAGAUAGGAAAGGUGUGAAAUAUGUUUCCUCGCGGCCACUGCGGGAAACUUCGAGCGACCAAAAUGUUAAAGAAAUAAUCGUGCCGCGCAAGUGUCUCUCGCUGGUAGAGAAGACAGACCGUGUGCUUGAAGUUUCUUUCUCUCUCUUUCUCUUUUCAACCCCCUUCCUUCUCUUUCUCUUUGUGUCCUUCCCCCCUCCCGUCGACGCUCCUCUCUGGGUCCGUUCGUCGCACCGGGACGACGUUUACCGUGCGUCACGGGAAACGGCAUUGGGAGGAGACAGAAGGUGACAGCCCUCCCGCGGAAUUUAUGGUGCACACGGGAGAAACGGUGAAGUGAGUAGUGUUAGAGUGAAGUGAGUGUAACGGCACUAAGUGCUAGACCGGUGAAAAAAUUUUUGGGGGUCUCCAUCAUUCCGGCCAAUAUAGGUGGAAAGAGAGAAAAAAUGCCGGGCCUAAUCGCCGUAAGCGAGUUCGUCGAGGAGACGAGGGAGGAUUAUAAUUCACCCACCACGUCUACCUUCGUCUCGCGGAUGCCACAAUGCAGACAGACAAUCACAUCUCUCGAAGAGACGCUGGACUUCGACAGAGAUGGAUUGACGAAGCUGAAGAAAGCGAUCAAAGCCAUUCACAAUUCUGGAAACGCUCACGUCGAUAACGAGGUUUAUCUUGGAAGGGCGUUGGAAAGGCUUGGAGAUGCCGCCUUGAAAGAACAGGAACCGGAUAUCGGUGCUGCCUUUUUGAAAUUUGCGGUCGUCACAAAAGAAUUGAGUGCUCUGAUGAAAACUCUGAUGCAGAAUAUUAACAACAUCGUUAUGUUUCCCCUGGACUCGGUGCUGAAAGGGGAUCUACGAGGUGUGAAAGGUGACUUGAAAAGGCCGUUCGAAAAGGCGUGGAAGGAUUACGAGGCUAAAUACGCGAAAAUCGAGAAGGAAAAGAAGCAACACGCAAAAGAGGCUGGCCUCAUUCGGACGGAAGUGACGCCGGCUGAGAUCGCCGACGAGAUGGAGAAAGAGAGAAGAUUGUUUCAAUUGCAAAUGUGCGAGUAUCUCAUAAAAGUGAACGAAAUCAAAACGAAGAAAGGAAUUGAACUGCUGCAGCAUCUAGUCGAAUAUUAUCAUGCACAAACCAAUUAUUUUCAAGACGGCCUAAAAACUAUUGAACACUUUGGUUCAUAUGUAGCAGAUCUUAGUGUAAAAUUACAAAAGAUCAGGCAAACACAAGAUGAGGAAAGAAGACGAUUAACAGAACUGAGAAAUCUCCUUAGAAGUUCAGGUUGCGACAAAGAGUUAAACGUAAAUGCGAAUGCAGGAUAUUCGCUUCACCAAUUGCAAGGGGAUAAGCAGCACGGUGUUACUAGAUCCGGUCAUUUGUUGAAGAAAAGCGAGGGAAAAAUGAGAAGAGUUUGGCAAAAGAGACGGUGUGCUGUUCAAGCCGAAGGUUAUUUGGACAUUUGUCACGCGGAUGAGAAUAAGCCACCAACGAGAGUGAAUUUAUUAACUUGUCAAAUCAAGCUAGUACCGGAUGAUAAACGAGGUUUUGAUUUAAUUAGUUACAACAGAACGUAUCACUUUCAAGCGGAAGACGAAGCUGAUCAACGAGCAUGGAUGUCCGUUUUAGUAAACUGUAAGGAACGUGCUUUGCUUCGAGCAUUCGAUGCAAGUGGCAAGGCUGAAGCUGGUACAGGAAAUCCAAGUUUAGUUGAACUUCAACAGGCUGUUAUACGAUGUGUCAUGAGGUUACCUGGAAACGAUCAAUGCUGUGACUGUUCUUCGCAAAAUGAUGCUACAUGGCUCUCUACAAAUUUUGGCAUAAUCGUGUGUAUAGAAUGCAGUGGAAUUCACCGUGAUUUAGGAGUGCAUAUAUCUAGAAUACAGUCAUUGACAUUGGAUAAUGUAGGCACUGCUCAAUUACUUCUUGCACGACACAUGACUAAUCAGGCGUUUAACGAAGUAAUGGAAGCUACAUUGCAUCAUAAUCAUAAACCAACACCAACUUCCACGAUGGAAGAAAGAUAUGAAUUUAUAAGAGCUAAAUAUGUGGAUAAACGAUACGUGAUGAACACUUGCGCGGAUGAAAGAGAUCUCCUUUCUGAUUUAGAACAUGCGGUUAAUAAUCGUGAUCUGCAACAACUUUUACAAGUUUAUGCAGAAAAUGUAGAUUUAGCAGCACCAUUACCUACAUCGGAUCUGGGCGAAACAGCAUUGCAUUUAGCAAUCUUACGUGAGAUGGGAAACAGCUUGCAUAUUAUAGAUUUCUUAGUACAGAAUAUGUCGACAGGUGGUAUAGAUAGGAGCACUAUCGAUGGGGAAACAGCUUUACAUCUUUGCGCAAGACAUGAUAGAGCAGAAGCAAUGAAACUUUUAUUACGAGCAGGUGCUGAUCCAACACAUCGAAAUAAACAGGAUAAAACUCCGCUUGAUAUUGCACAGGAAAUGGGACACCACACUUGUAAAGAACUGUUGAGUCAUGCUCUACAAAGACAAAAGACAUUGUUUGACAAUGUUAAUAUCGAUUGGAAUCUCUCGCAUGACGAAGGAUCUACCGAUUUUUCUGAUGACGAAACAAUAAUAGAAGAUAGGAAUGGUUGUUUAACACCUGAGAAGAAAUCUCGUAGUAGGCCACCUUCUUAUGUGGGUGGCGGUGGUAGUAGUGGUGGUGCUGGAUCAGGAGAUUCGCCAGUGACUUUACGUAGUCGAAGUAGUACGUGUGACAGUUUGCAAAGUGGUUCCUCUCCAAGUUCUUCAACGAAUAGACAACAAAUGCCUCCACCACCGCCACCUCAAUCAAGGAAACCUGUUGCUGUACCUACACCCAUGGCGCCAGAUAUUUCGGUUAACAUUCACGGAUCAUUGAAGAAGCGUGUAGCACCCCCACCACCACCGGCUGGAAGUACAGGUGGUAUACCUUCCUCUCAUUAUGGUACACUACCUUCGUCCGCGUCCUUAGCAGCGUCAACGCAUAGCCGUACAACGAGCGAACCUAUCUUAGCUGGGCAUUCUUUACAUACUCUACCACAUGCAUUAAAUACAUUAAACAGUCAACAUCAUAAAAGAUCGCCCAGUGGAGAUUCUUCAACGGGACAUGGUACAGACAAAGUAAAUAGCUCAACACUUCAAAGACCAAGGAAUCCUCCUCCCCCAGCUCCAUCUAGUAUCAAUUCCUCAAGAUUGAGUAAUGGACGUAGCAGCGAGUCGUUGAGUUCUAUGUGUUCGGAUCAUGGUUUGGGUAAUCCUAUUCCACCUCCACGUAAGCCAACUUCAUCGACCUUAAGCGGAUUACGACGCUGUCGAGCAUUGUAUGAUUGCGAAGCAGAUAACGAGGAUGAGCUAUCAUUCCGGGAAGGAGAGGUGAUCAUCGUAACAAAUGAACAAACCGACGACGACAACUGGAUGGAAGGUGCUCUUGAACGAGCGCCUGAAAGAAGAGGAAUGUUCCCGAUUAGUUUCGUGCACAUGUUGCAAGAUUAACAUUCGGUAAGCCUGAACUCAUUGGCAAGUGUCUCCAGUACUGCCAGCUCCGUGAGCAUUGCUAGUCUCGGCAGGAAAUCUUGGACGAGGAAACCGAAAGAUUGAACAGAAAGGAUCAAGCAUUCAGUUCCAUAAUUUUUAAAAAGUCGUGGAUUCCUUCUCUUGAAAUUAUACGCAAUUUGAAAUAAUUCCUCAAUUUAUAACUUGAAACAAUUCCAGAGAAGCACAUUGAUUUGCUAAAAGAAGAGAUUUUAAUAAUUAUUAUAUGAGAAAAUAUUCAUCUAAAAAAUAUUUGUUUAAAUUUGAGAGGAGGAAAUCAUAAAUAUUGAAGAAUUCAUUAAAAAAAGAAAUAAUAUCUGACUAAAAAAAAUCAAUAUGAAAGUUGAGAAAGUUUGUCUUUGAGAAUCAUUAGAAACAUCAUAGAGAAGAGAAGUAGUUACUAUAGCCUGAGCAAAAUAAAUUGGCUAUACAAAGUUACAAAUAGAUAAACUCUCAUCAUGCUAUCAAUUGUAUGCAAUUUAAGAAACAUAACUUAAAAUAUUCUAAUGAUCAUAAUUUUGAAUAUGAUCAUAAUUUUUAAAUAUUUAAAACAUGUAGUAAAACUACAAGAAAAAAAUAAUUUGAAGGAAUUAUUUUAUAAGAUAAAACGAAGUGAAAAUUUAAAGCAUAUAAAAACUUAUACAAAGGAAGUUAUUGUGAUGCAAAUUUAUACUAUUAUUAAAUAUAGUUAAAAGUAUAUAAUAAUUUUUUUCAUUCUUAAUAAUCUCAAAAAAAAAAAAAAAGAGCUUAAGAAACCAAUUAAUAUUGUUCAGACUAUAGCUUUGAUACUUCAUGUGCUGUACCUAGACGUGCCUAUUCAAGUCGGAUACUCAAACGUAAAGAAAAAUCUUAUACAAGUCUACAAUUUAAAAAUUUCAAUAAAAAUACAUUCAAUGCCAGAAGAACGGGGAAUAAGUUGAGCACCAAUUGUUUCGAACAGGAUGAAGAAAUCGAAGACUGGAUCGUUCUGAAGGCCGACGAUAAACAAACAGAAAAUGUGAUAUAAAAUAUAUUUCAGUAUAAAUUAUUAGUAUUAUGAAUCGGAUUCAACAAAAAAAAAAGAAAAAAAUUGAAAAACCAUACGCUAAUAAAAUAAAACCAUCAUAUAUGUUUAUGAUAAUCGAACAGGGCGUUGCAAUCGAAGCAAAUCUAUCAUAAAUUACGAUAUUCGUUCGUAUUAUUAAAUUACAACUAACAGUGGAUACUGGUUUAUCUUGUUAGCUGUUGAUUAUCAAUUCUACUACGUAGAACAACACGUAUUCGAUCGAAAUACUAAUCAUAUUUGGUAAAUGUGCACAAUUUGUGUAUACAGAGAUACAGAUUUAAAAAGAAAAAAAGAAAAAAAAUAAGUGUAUGUAUGCGUGCGUGAGUGUGUGCAUGUUUGUAUGCAUAUAAUUAUAAUUAAAAAAUUAUAAUUAUAAUUGAAAAAAAAAAAGAGAAGAGAAAGAAUAGAAUACAGAACUCAACUCUGUAAUUUGUUGCAUGUCUUUAAGUAUCUGGCGCACACUUCUUUCUGUACUGCCAAUGCUGAAUAUAUUCUAUAUAUGCAAUUGCGUUCCAGGCGAAUAGAACAAAAAGAAAUUAAGAAGAAGAAAAACAUUUUCGUGAUGAAUGUGGUAGAUACAGCCAACGGCGUCGAUCGCUGAAAAAGAUAUAACAUAAAUAUAGGAUAUUAAAAAGGAGGUGUCUUUAUCCUCCUGAAAAAAAAAAGAAGAAGAACGAUAUGACAUUAAAAUAUUGCAUGACACCGAUAGUAUUAUUAGCGUAUUCGAUUCUUAAAGAUCACGUGGUUACGAGCGUAUGUACAUUUUUGUAAUGCCAUAUUAUAUUUGUUAGUAAAUAUAUAUAUAAAAUUAUAUAUAUAUAUAUAUAUAUUGUGAAAUAGAAUUAUGAAGUUAGAGAUUUAUUAGUCAUUAAGUACAUAUAGUAUAUAUAUAUAUAUAUAAAAUGAAAAGAAAAGAAAGAAUAUAAAAGAAAGAAAAGAAUAAAAGAACAAUACGUGUGCGAUUUAACCGAGAUUUAUGCGCCGGAAGCGAAUUGAAAUUUUUCUUUUUUUAAUAUUGUUAUUUGAAACACGUAACACAUAUGAAACCAAAGAAAACAUUUUUGCGAGUGAGAGAAUUGUAAACGCCUGCUAGCUCAAUGUAUAUUAAAGGGAACUAUAAUUUUUUUCUUAA